rnacentral:misc_RNA from 1 species
GCUGAAGAACGUAGCGAAAUGCGAUAAGUAAUGUGAAUUGCAGAAUUCAGUGAAUCAUCGAAUCUUUGAACGCACAUUGCGCCCGCUAGUAUUCUGGCGGGCAUGCCUGUCCGAGCGUCAUUUCAACCCUCAAGCCCCCGGGCUUGGUGUUGGGGAUCGGCGAGCCUCCGCGCCCGCCGUCCCCUAAAUCUAGUGGCGGUCUCGCUGUAGCUUCCUCUGCGUAGUAGCACACCUCGCACUGGGAAACAGCGCGGCCACGCCGUUAAACCCCCAACUUCUGAACGUUUGACCUCGGAUCAGGUAGGAAUACCCGCUGAACUUAAGCAUAUCAAUAAGCGGAGGA